rnacentral:rRNA from 1 species
AUUGAACGCUGGCGGCAGGCUUAACACAUGCAAGUCGAGCGAGCGGCGGACGGGUGAGUAAUGUAUGGGAAACUGCCUGAUGGAGGGGGAUAAAUACUGGAAACGGUAGCUAAUACCGCAUACCAUCAGAUGUGCCCAGAUGGGAUUGGCUAGGAGGUGUGGUAAUGGCUCACCUAGGAGACGAUCCCUAGCUGGUCUGAGAGGAUGACUAGCCACACGGGAACUGAGACACGGUCUGUACUUCGAUGUGAGGCAUCAGUGGGGAAUAUUGCACAAUGGGCGUAAGCCUUAUGCAGCCAUGCCGCGUGUAUGAAGACGGCCUUCGGGUUGUAAAGUACUUUCAGCGGGGAUGCGUUACCCGCAGAAGAAGCACCGGCUAACUCCGUGCCAGCAGCCGCGGUAAUAC